CUUUGUUCUUGUCUUAAUUUAAUUAUUUUCGUCCAAAAUCAACCCCAUCUUAUUUCUUUGAGUCAUAAUAAUUAGAACUUGUCUUAGAUUAUGUUUUUAAGUGUUUUAGUUCAUUAGAAAACCAAAAUUCGUCCAAGUUUGUGUUAGAGUCCCAAAACUACCCAGAUUGUGUCUUAGAUUAAUUUUCAUGCAUGAAUUUGACGCUAGAAUAUAAGGGAGUUUCACCUAAUCGUUAUGAACUUAUAUUCACAAGUAGUGAAGGUUGCUAGUCACAAUCACACGUUAAGUAAAUUCUUGGCAUAAGUUUCAUGCAAAUCAUAGUAACGAGUGCCUCGUCAAUGCUUAUGCUUUUCAUAGAACUUAAUGAUUCUUGCUUGUAUCUCUAUUAUGCAAUUCAUGUAGGGAACUUGUAGGGAAUGU
rnacentral:lncRNA from 1 species